ensembl:rRNA 5S_rRNA 5S ribosomal RNA
GGCCACAGCCAUAUUACCCUGCAGCCCAAGACCAGUUAUUCACUGAAGCGAAGCAAGGCUGAGCCUGGUUAGUAUUGGAUGGGAGAUCACAUGGGAAACUUAGGUUGCUGUUGGAA